CAGCGAAACUGCGAAUGGCUCAUUAUAUAAGUUAUCGUUUAUUUGAUAGUACCUUACUACUUGGAUAACCGUGGUAAUUCUAGAGCUAAUACAUGCUAAAAAUCCCGACUUCGGAAGGGAUGUAUUUAUUAGAUUAAAAACCAAUGCCCUUUGGGCUCCUUGGUGAUUCAUAAUAACUUUUCGAAUCGCAUGGCCUUGCGCCGGCGAUGGUUCAUUCAAAUUUCUUCCCUAUCAACUUUCGAUGUUUGGGUAUUGGCCAAACAUGGUCGCAACGGGUAACGGAGGGUUAGGGCUCGACCCCGGAGAAGGAGCCUGAGAAACGGCUACUACAUCCAAGGAAGGCAGCAGGCGCGCAAAUUACCCAAUCCCGAUUCGGGGAGGUAGUGACAAUAAAUACUGAUACAGGGCUCUUUUGGGUCUUGUAAUUGGAAUGAGUACAAUUUAAAUCCCUUAACGAGGAACAAUUGGAGGGCAAGUCUGGUGCCAGCAGCCGCGGUAAUUCCAGCUCCAAUAGCGUAUAUUAAAGUUGUUGUGGUUAAAAAGCUCGUAGUUGAACCUUGGGCCUGGCUGGCCGGUCCGCCUCACCGCGUGUACUGGUCCGGCCGGGCCUUUCCCUCUGUGGAACCUCAUGCCCUUCACUGGGUGUGGCGGGGAAACAGGACUUUUACUUUGAAAAAAUUAGAGUGCUCCAGGCAGGCCUAUGCUCGAAUACAUUAGCAUGGAAUAAUGAAAUAGGACGUGUGGUUCUAUUUUGUUGGUUUCUAGGACCGCCGUAAUGAUUAAUAGGGACAGUCGGGGGCAUCAGUAUUCAAUUGUCAGAGGUGAAAUUCUUGGAUUUAUUGAAGACUAACUACUGCGAAAGCAUUUGCCAAGGAUGUUUUCAUUAAUCAGGAACGAAAGUUAGGGGAUCGAAGACGAUCAGAUACCGUCGUAGUCUUAACCAUAAACUAUGCCGACUAGGGAUCGGACGAUGU
rnacentral:rRNA from 1 species